rnacentral:rRNA from 1 species
GACGAACGCUGGCGGCGUGCUUAACACAUGCAAGUCGAGCGAUGAAGCUCCUUCGGGAGUGGAUUAGCGGCGGACGGGUGAGUAACACGUGGGCAACCUGCCUUAUAGAGAGGAAUAGCCAUCCGAAAGGAUGAUUAAUACCUCAUAAUAUUGUAGUUUCGCAUGAAACACAAUCAAAGGAGCAAUCCACUAUAAGAUGGGCCCGUGGCGCAUUAGCUAGUUGGUGAGGUAACGGCUCACCAAGGCGACGAUGCGUAGCCGACCUGAGAGGGUGAUCGGCCACAUUGGGACUGAGACACGGCCCAGACUCCUACGGGUGGCUGG